rnacentral:misc_RNA from 1 species
UGGUGUUGCUAAGUGCAUCUGGUGUCUGGACAAUAUUAGAUAAUACAUGAAGUAUUUACAGCAUGAAUGAUUGCCCAGACACCAGAUGCACUUAGCAACACCAGUUGAUUGCAAGAUUGUACAGCAAUUUCUAAUAGGUUAAGGUUGCAUAUGAGUAGUAGCAUGACCGAAGGUCUUCUCACUGCUGUAACACAUGUACAGAAAUCCAUCCUCGUCCUUGAAGGAUUCAUAGAUAGAGUACAUUAGAGCAGCUGUCUGAGGUAAGGUAUCCUUGACGAACACAAAAAGAGCUUUUCCAGUUGUCAAAUGAAGCCUGCUACUUAGUACAUGAAUGAAUUGCCCUACAGACAUGUCUCGAGGAACCAGAUAUUUUUUCUUUUCCAUUUCAGGAAGGUCAGUUUUGCAAUACCUCUCAACAAUUACGGGAACUCGGUCUGGGUAUUUGGCAAUAAUAUCACGAGAUUCUUCACGUCUUUGCUCGAAAGUGAACUCGUCCUUGAAUGACUUGUCUUUCCCCAUUAUUAAUCGGUAUGUCUGGAAGCGAUGGAUAGAGAGAGAGAGAGAGAAGAAACGGAUAGAGCACGGAACACGAUACAGAUGAUUAGG